rnacentral:lncRNA from 1 species
GUGGCGUUAUACAUUGUUUUGAUGUAAGAUAUGAUACAUCUUUUCUAUAAAAUCGAUUGAUUGACAGAUUGGUGGUUGCAGACUGAGAACGUGCAGUGUCAAAUAGUUCAUGCAUGCAUGCACGGAACGAAAAGCUAUUUUAAAACAAUACAUACGUAUUACCAUGCAUGGGGAAUACCUGUAAUAAAUUAAGGGUAGACCAGGAUGAAGUUCGGUAAACUUUUUAUACGGGUUUUACAUUUUUUUCUAUUUUGGCGGAUGAAGACAAUUCUAUUCCCAAGUCACCCUUAAGUGUCCAUAAAUUCAGCAGCACCCAUACAUAUAUAUAUACCUACUUUCCAAUCUUUUAAAACAAAUAAAAGAAAGAAUAAGACAAAAUGAUACACAUUCUCAAACGCCUAUUUUAUCGGUAAUAAUACUUGAGGGUCUUGUUGGAGUUGACAGAAUAUCAAAUCACGCGACUGGGAAACGCAGAAUAAAGGACAAAACAUAUAGCAUAUACAAAAAAAUAUAAAGAAUAGAAAAUAAAAGGAUG